UACGUAGGGCGCAAGCGUUGUCCGGAAUUAUUGGGCGUAAAGAGCUCGUAGGCGGUUUGUCGCGUCUGCUGUGAAAUCCCGAGGCUCAACCUCGGGCUUGCAGUGGGUACGGGCAGACUAGAGUGCGGUAGGGGGAGACUAGAAUUCCUGGUGUAGCGGUGGAAUGCGCAGAUAUCAGGAGGAACACCGAUGGCGAAGGCAGGUCUCUGGGCCGCAACUGACGCUGAGGAGCGAAAGCGUGGGGAGCAAACAGG
rnacentral:rRNA from 1 species